AACCUGCGGAAGGAUCAUUAUCGUAUGAUGGAGGUGCUGGGGUUGUCGCUGACUUUUGAAAGAGUCGUGCACGCCUCGGUGCUCUCACACAUAAUCCAUCUCACCCCUUUUGUGCACCACCGCGUGGGGACCCCCUUUUGGCUAGUUCUGAGGGGGGUUUUCACGUUUUUAUAACAGACACCCCUUUUAAUGCAAUGUGUAGAAUGUCUUACUUUUUUGCGAUCACACGCAAUCAAUACAACUUUCAACAACGGAUCUCUUGGCUCUCGCAUCGAUGAAGAACGCAGCGAAAUGCGAUACGUAAUGUGAAUUGCAGAAUUCAGUGAAUCAUCGAAUCUUUGAACGCACCUUGCGCCCUUUGGCAUUCCGAGGGGCACACCCGUUUGAGUGUCGUGACAUUCUCAAAACCUUCUUGGUUUCUUGACCGGGAAGGCUUUGGACUUUGGAGGCUUUUGCUGGCUUCCCUUUGUUGGAGCCAGCUCCUCUGAAAUGGAUUAGCAAGGUCUGCUUUGCCGAUCCUUGACGUGAUAAGAUGUUUUCUACGUCUCGGGUUCUGCACUCCUGCUUCUAACCGUCUCACAGAAGACAAAUGGUCAAAGUGAUUGCCACUUGACCCACGAACCUGACCU
rnacentral:rRNA from 1 species